AUCACUUUUCGGCCUGUUCGUUAAGGUCAAGUGUAGUAUCUGUUCUUAUCAGUUUGAUAUCUGAUAUAUCCCUUAUCUGGGGACCAUAUAUUAAAUUGAUUUUUGGAACAGCGAGAUGGAAUAGGGGCUUGCUCCACCCACUCCACACAUCGACCUGGUAUUGCAGUGCUUCCAGGAAUGGUCCAAGGGAA